CCCCUAGACGUUCUGGGCUGCACGCGCGCUACAAUAAUACGCACAGCGAGUAUCACCGAGCUCGAAAGGGCAAGGUAAACAAUAGAAAAGGUACUGUAAUGGUUAUAGAUCCUUGUAAUUAUUGAUCUUCAACGAGGAAUUCCUAGUAAGUAUGUGUCAUCAUCACGCACUGAUUACGUCCCUGCCCUUUGUACACACCGCCCGUCGCUCCUACCGAUUGGGGAGCCGAUGAAACUCUCGGAUGUAGGCUAUUCAUAGCCCGCAGAAGAGAUUUGAAUCGUAGCGCUUAGAGGAAGGAGAAGUCGUAACA
rnacentral:rRNA from 1 species